rnacentral:rRNA from 1 species
AUGGACCAACCCGUAGCAUUAACAAGGAAGCUUUCUAUCUUGAGCCUCACUUCAGAAAAGCCUCCACCUGGGACCAAAUGGCUAGUAAAUGGUGAUUUCAACCAGAUCUAUCGUGCCAGGGACAAAAACCGAGCCAAUGUGGAUCGAAGCCGUCUCGUGCGUUUCCGCAACGCCCUCAACACCUGUGAGCUCAAGGAGAUACACAUGCAAAACAGGAAAUUUACUUGGAGCAAUGAACAAAGUAACCCGACGAUGAGCAAGUUGGAUAGCUUUUUUUGCAAUGAGGACUGGGAUCUCGAGUUUGCCACGCACAUACUGCAUGCCCUCUCCUCAUCACUUUCGGACCACUGCCCCCUCCUUCUUGCUAAUGAUGUUGGACCAAAGAAGCCUAAAUCCUUCCGCUUUGAAAAUUACUGGACAAACAUGCCGGGGUUCGAACGUGUCGUUUCUGAGGCAUGGAAUGAGAUUUCAUGUCAUGUCGAGCCAUACCAGCGGCUAUUCCACAAGCUAAAGAAAACAGGCCAAAAACUGCGUUCCUGGAGCAAGACCCUUUUUUCGAACGCCAAGGUCCAGCUCCACAUGGCUCUUGAGGUUAUUCUUCGUCUUGACCUCGCUCAAGAACAAAGAGAGCUAAGCCCGGAGGAAAGGGACCUUCGGAAAAGAUUAAAAAGAAGGAUCGUUGGCUUGGCGGAACGUAACGCGAGAGUUUUCCGCAACACUGCAGUUCCGGUGGGAGUGUUGGUCGCCAAGAUCAAAGAGGAGUGCUUGCUUUGGAGCUUUGCGGGAGCAGAAUAUUUGACGAAGACAUGGCUCCGCUGCUCCUCCCCCUCCCGUCUCCUCUCCCACUUCCCCUCCACCUUUGCGCCCUCCUCGGCGGUCGGUGAGUCCCCGCCCUCCUCGCUGAUCUGCUCUGUCCUCGUCCCCCCUCCUCCCCGCCCCCGGAGCUCGGCUGCUCCCUCUCCCUCGCCGCUGGAGGCGCGCCUCGGGUUCGUAAGUUUGCUCCGGGCGGGCGCGGCCGUGUGCCCUCGCCGGUGGUGGCGGAAGCCGGGUGGUGCGUGGCUCGCCGCUGGGACCGUAGAUCUGGUAAGCGCUCGCGAUCUGUGGUUCCCUUGUCUCCCCCGCGUCUCUUUGCCGAUCCAAUCUUGGUCCCCUGCUCGCCGUCUGCGGGCCCUCUGUCCCCUCCCUCUCCUGGACCACCGUUGGGGCGACGGCCAGGGGCGCCGGGGGUGGUUUCUCCGCCGCGCGGCGUUGCCGGCUCGACGGCGGCGGGUGUUGGGCCGUCUGGGCCGUUGGCCCUGGUGGCCCCUGUGCUCUCUGACGUGGUCCUUUCCCCCCCUCUUUCAUCGGGUGGGCCGAGUGGGCCAGUCGGCCCGCUGGCGCGCGUGCCCAAAGAGGGGCGGCCUGAUGGCCCUCGUCUGUCUGGGUAUAUAUGGAUCAGGAAGAUCCAAACCUCCUCCUCCCCUCUUGGCGUCCUUCGUCGCGGUCCUCUUGAUGGACAAAUCUCGCGCCUCCUCUUCUGAGGCCCUCUCUGGUAGCAAGCGUGGUCGUGAAGGCUCGUCGGAGGCGGGCCGCUCCCUGGAUCUGGAGUAUGAGGUCGCGCUGCGGUCGAAGCUGGAGGCAGAGCGGUCUGCAUGCGAGCAGGUGGCGAAGGUGGACCCCUGGGAGGAGGCUGCGGCCGUGGGGUCGUCGGCGGCCCCUGGGGUUUCUCGGCCCUCUCUGAUGCGGGGUUCGGGCGGCUCGGCUUCGGUGGAUGGUCGCGGGGACGGCCCCGGCUUCGGACCUGGUCCUGGUGGUAAUGCGCACUUCUCCUAUGAAGAUGGGCUCCUCCUCGGCGGCGGUGGGCGAUGGGAUUCUUCCUCCUCCCCCUCCCCUCCCUCAGGUUUCAUCCCCUCUCGUGGCGCAGCUCCAGUCGCUGGGGGCGGGGCAUCCUCGGGUUCGGCCACUCUCACCUGCUUCGCUUGCCACAGAUUUGGGCACUUCCAAUCCCGUUGCAAGUUCCCCCCUUUCCGCCUGAUCUUAAUAGAGGAGGGACACCUCACUGUCAACUGCUCGGACCGGUCCAGAUUUCCCUCCUUCAAGCAGUUCGGGCUGGGUCUACCCGACUGCUCCUUCUUCACCUUAGACGGGGAGCUUGGCAUGCCUAUCAUUGCCCCCGUUGCCUCCAACUCUGUUGUCAUCUCGGUCACCUCUGACCCGGUCUCGACCCAAGUCAUUUCUGAUGAGCUGAAAGAAUGGGUGGUUGAAGGAUGGGAUUGGAAGAUCCAUCAACUGUCUGAAUCAGAGUUUGCUAUCACCUUCCCUACCAAAGAGAGCCUCAAGAUGAUGGCUUCUUGCUCCAGUUUCACCCUUCCUCUGAACCAAGUUGUCGUCUCAGUCAAAGCCGCUAAUGAUGGAGCGCGUCCUAUUGCCUCCUUCUCUAAAAUCUUGAUCCUCGUUGAUGGUGUUCCCUCUGGCCUCCGCAAUCCUCGCUUCAUGAUGUCCUUUGGUGAGCUGGUUGGUAAACCAGUGGAGGUUGAUCCCACCUCUUUGAACAACCCCAGCCCUGUUCGUAUGAAUAUUUGGUGCCUCGAUCCGCAACGGGACAAGGGCCCAGUCGACAUCUUCCCGCUCCAUGAUGCUUACCGUCUUCGCGUUCCUCCAGAGGCUCGGGCUGCUCGCCAGGCUCCCCCACCCCCUUCCCCUCCCAAAUCUUCCAAACCUGAUCCUUCCGAGGGGGGAGCCAACACUGGUGCUGGUAGCAACGCUAAUCCUUUCACUACUUCUGAGUGGGAAGCCAUGGGGUCCGAAUCCCGUGGUAUGCUUGAGGCGGCCAUGGAUGGUGGGGCACGGAACGGGCCUCAGGAUAUGCCUGAUUUGAUAUGGGUUGAUGACAUUAUCGAAGAACUUGUCCUUGGAGGAGCGUGGAGUGGCCAUGCCAGCGGGUGCGGCGAUCCCCCGAGUCCCCGCAACAAGCCAUCUAAGAAGAAGAAGACAUUUCUCCGCAAGUUUUCGGCCAAGAGUCGGGCCUCCAUUGGCUCCAAGAAGAAGGAUGGUGGGCUGUUCCGUAGGCUGUAUGCAGACCUGGGUGCGAUGGCAGGUGGCCUUUCUGGAGGUGAUGCUUCUUCUCCGGUGGCCCACUCAGUUGCCGGCCCAGUGCACUCCUCGGUCUCGACAGCCAGGAAGGGCCUGCGUCGGCAGAAUGUGGCGAUUCCCAUCCAGGAGCAUGCGGAGCGGCGGGCGGCCGCCAAGGAUCUCUGUCCUCCAGGUACUUGGCCUCCCCUGUCCCCUGCUCGUUUGGUUCUUCCUGACAUUCCUGAUGCCCAUCUCUUCAACAUUUUGGCUGACAUUGGGGUGGAAGUUGAUCGUUCUCUGGGUUCUCCCUCCUCUCUUCUUUCCGUGAUUCGUAUUAAUGAAAUGGCUCAAGCCUCCCUGGCGAGAGCUAAGGAGACCGCUCUGGCCAAGUCUAAGGAGGCGGAAGCCUCGGUGACAGCCAAGGCCAAUGAUCAUGUUUCUGGGGUGAUGGGGGAGGGUUGUGGCCCUCCACCUAUCACGAUAAAAAGGAACAAAGGUGUUUUCUGGAAUAUUCGUGGUUUCGGCGCUAGGGGGCGCCGUGACCAAAUUCGGGACCUGAUUCAUGAUGUUAACGCUGACUUUGUGGGGUUUAUCGAAACCUUUAAGGCCUCCUUCUCCUUCCCUGAACUAGCAUCGAUCGCUGGGGCGGAUCAGUUCUGUUGGCGUUGCCUCCCUGCUUCUGGUCACCCCGGAGGAAUUUUGAUUGGAGCUAGGCUAGAUAUCUUUGAUUUUGUGGCUUUUGAUCAUGGCAUCUUAUGGGCUAGUAUGGUUGUGCAUCAUAAAAGCCUCAAUGUUCUCUGGGAGAUCAUGGUCGUUUACGGUCUGGCUGACCACUCCUUGUCCCCGCUUUUCCUCGAUGAAUUAGUUGUGAAGGUGGACUCCUGCGAUAUUCCUCUGCUCAUUGGGGGUGACUUUAAUCUCCUGCGGUCCCCUUCUAACAAAAGUAAUUCUAACUUUUCAUGGCCCUUGGCGGAUGCUUUUAAUGACUUUAUUGCCGAGUUUGCUCUCCGUGAGCUGCCUAGGAUGAGGUCUCGUUUCACCUGGUCUAAUCAUCAAGCGAACCCUACUCGAUCUAUGCUCGACCGUGCCUUCGCCUCCCACCCCUGGGAUGUUCUGUUCCCUCGAGCCUCUCUUUCUGUGCUUCCUCAUAUCUCCACAUGUAGAUUCCAAUUCGACGCUUCCUGGCUCCUGGUCGAUGGCUUCUUUGAUAUGGUAGCGAUGAAGAUUGAGUCCUUUUUCGAGGCUAGAGUCUGGUCUUUCGGUCCCAUGGAUGAUUGGCAUUUUUGGUCUUAUCAGCUACGCAAAUUCCUUAAAGGUUGGGGUCAUAACCGGGCAGCUUAUGUGCUUAGAAACAAGCGAGAGCUGUUGGGGCAGAUUUCCUCCCUUGAUACGGAAGCUGACAUUUCUGGUCUUUCGGUAGCUGGAUGGUGUCAUAGGUACGAGCUUGAGGGCCUCCUCAUGCAUCUACACCAACAAGCUGAGAUUUAUUGGAAGCAGCGUGGCUCUAUCAAUUGGGUCUUGAGGGGUGACGCCCCCACGGCCUAUUUCUUUACCAUUGCUAAUGGUCGGCGGCGUAGAUGCGCCAUUGGUAGUUUGGUCAUUGCCGGUACGAGGGUUGAUGACCCUCACUUGAUCAUGGAGCACAUUUUUAACUUCUUCUCCUCGCUCAUGGCUGCCAAGCCGACCUCAGGCUUUAUCCUCUCCCCUUCCCUCUGGACUCAGGACAAACGGGUUUCGGCUGUCGAGAAUGCGGACCUAUUGGUUCCCCCUUCUGAUGAGGAGAUCGAAGUGGCCAUCAAUUCUACUGAUGUGAUGAACACGUGUCUCAUUGUUAAAUGGUGGUGGAGGAUCAUGACCGCUGAUCCUGAGGCUUUAUGGCUCCAGAUCCUAAAAGCCAAAUAUUUCCCUAACGGAAGCCCUAUGUUUGCGAAUGCAAACGGCGCCUCCCAGUUCUGGGUUGACCUCAUCAAGACUUCUUGGACCCCUGGAUCAUUUGCUGAUGUUCGAACUAUGACGACUGGCCUGAAUGGUCGGGCCAGGAGACUUUUUUGGACCGGGAUGGGCGCCCUAUGCUGGGAUCUCUGGACUAUUCGGAACAAGUUUACUAUCGAGGGUAUCUUCCCUAACAAACCUGCUGAUGUUCUGUUUAAAAUGUCUAUACUCUUGCAGCAGUGGAAAUUAUUGACUAAAGCGGUGGACCGUGACGACCUGGAGAAGCUGAUCGACAAAAGCCGCACCCUCUGGCCUUCGUCGGAACUACCGCGCCCCGUCGUGGAUUGGAAGACGGCCGACCCAACUGAUUUUUGA